GUAAUAUGCAUGAGCAUUUUUGCUGCUAUACAAUUACAUGGUGACUAAACUAUGAUUGUAUAUAUCUAUUUUUAUUUUUGAUGUCAGCCUAUUAUUUAUCUGAUGAACUCUCUCCUUUCCUUUUUUAGCUGGUGUUUUAGUCUUCUCCUCUCUCUUCCCCCUGCAUUCUCCCUGUAAAGUGCCCGUGCAGGCCAUGGUGUUGCAUGAGCCCAGCCUCCGUGGGACAGCGUGGUGUCACUGCUGAUCGGCAGCUGGGCCUGAGAUGCUGGAGCUAAGCUGCAGCUCGCAUUGUUUCCUGCGAACUUCUGCCUCUCAGGGCUGUGGAAAUUGAUGACCGAAUAACGCAGUAGCCUCGUCUAGGUUCCAGGCACUGCUUUAGGUGAUGGGGAUUCAGCCGUGAAUGCCAUUGACUGCCCUUCUGGAGCUUACAUUUUAGGAGUAAAGACAGAUAAUAAAAUAAUGAAAUAAGACCUGGCUUAUGUUUUUAAAGGGCUGCAUUGAUGAGAAUAUACCAUAGAGGCCUCUUAGGGAUAAUACCAUUUUCUCUUAACUUAAAGGGAUGUGUCUGUGGUUCCAAAGACUGGACAUAGGCACAGGCAGCCAAUUACCGCUGGUGGCCGGAGAGCAAAUCUGAUCCCUAGAGUGAAUAAGAAGGGAUAUGUAGUCUGG